GGUAUGAAAAGGGUGUGGUUUCUACAAUAAAGCAAUCUCCGGAUGCAAAAGGGGGUGUGUGCCACUUUGCUCCCCAUUGCUACAGAGAGAUAUAUGUGGCCCUGUCUUCUCCAGCUGGAGAAGAGACAGGCUGGAAAUAUGACUGAUUGUCUGGCAGUUACUGGCUACUUUUACUGA
rnacentral:lncRNA from 12 species